CUUUUUGACAAAGGAAAAGGGUACCCAAGCUCUUUGAAAACUCUGGGAAUUUCCUCUUCAAAUUUUGAGUCAGGCAGUUCAUAAGAAGGGCAGAGAAAUCCAUAGAUAAAAGUGAAGAUUUUUAUGAAGUCUUUUACAGAUGGAGACUGGAGUGAUUUUAUGGUGACAUUAUGGGCAUAACCAUUCUCAACAAGAAACUCACAAAGUUGUUUGAUACAUUGUUGGAUGAACGCCUUGUCAUGAAGCGGCCUGGGAUCCUUGAUCUUUUCUGUACCAAACAUACCAUACUGACUGUUGCGUGAACCUCC
rnacentral:lncRNA from 1 species